rnacentral:snRNA from 1 species
GUGCUAGCUUUGGCAGCACAUAUACUAAAAUUGGAAUGAUACAGAAAAGAUUAGCAUGUCCCCUGUGAAAAAAUGACACUCAAAUUUGUGAAGCAUUCCAUAAUUUA